AACGAACACUGGCGGCGUGCCUUAAGCAUGCAAGUCGAGCGGUGCCAGAGAUUAUCUGGUAUAGCGGCGCACGGGUGAGUAACGCGUAUGCAACCUGCCUGUAAGAGGGGAAUAACCCGGAGAAAUUCGGACUAAUACCGCAUAAUACCACGAGACUGCAUGGUUUUGUGGUUAAACAUUUAUGGCUUACAGAUGGGCAUGCGUAUGAUUAGAUAGUUGGUAGGGUAACGGCCUACCAAGUCUACGAUCAUUAGGGGUUCUGAGAGGAAGGUCCCCCACACUGGUACUGAGACACGGACCAGACUCCUACGGGAGGCAGCAGUGAGGAAUAUUGGUCAAUGGGCGAGAGCCUGAACCAGCCAAGUCGCGUGAAGGAAGAAGGUUCUAUGGAUUGUAAACUUCUUUUGCAGGGGAAUAAAGGACGGUACGUGUACUGUUUUGUAUGUACCUUGCGAAUAAGGAUCGGCUAACUCCGUG
rnacentral:rRNA from 1 species